AGUUUAUACCAGAGAUUAACACGCCAAGUUCACACCAGAGGGGCGAAUUAUUCAGUUUUCUUUCCUGGGAGUUAAAAUCAAGAGUUUAACAUACAAAUGCUGUUGAAGUGUACUUAUUAUUUAGUUUUAUUAUUAUUAUUUUCACUCUUUUAAAGUGACCAGAUUGCAGCAAACAAAGUCUCUGAAACUCCCCCACACUCCCCCGCUUUGGUUGGCAAGUAUGAUAGAGACAGACAGACAGAACAUAUCAGCCUGCUGCGCAGCGCCGCAAAGCUUCAAAUACCUUCAAAUAUUUCACAUCAAAGCUUCGAAGCCCAAAAGCUGGUAUUCGGGACAGCCCUAGUAUCAAGUCGCUAGGUACUGUCGAGGUUGUAGCUUGCGUCUUUGUGGAACGAGGCAGCUGCAGUCAGCAACAUCAAGGUGGAAGUGUUUGAUACUCACAGGAGGUGUUCAGUGGUGUCUUCCUUUAAGGGAACUGAAGUUAACCAAGCAAUUGAUGUUAAGAUGCAACAUAUUUUUAUUUGUUUUAAAGCACUAAGUCACUGUGGAGGAUUAUUUGUAAAAUGUAAUGAUGCACCCUCUCUCUCUAGUCUUGUCAAUUCAGGCCCACAGGUCUGAUUCAGGUAUUUAUUACUGGCUAACACCCCCCCAUCCCCCGUAACCCUGACUGACCCUGAAUGAAUCCUAACGUUGAUUAAAGAAGACCUCAUGCGGCAUUUCAUUUCUGUCAAUACUGCACAUGUUCCAAUAAAUCAUGAACAAGAA